CAAUAGCGUAUAUUAAAGUUGUUGCAGUUAAAAAGCUCGUAGUUGGAUUUCUGUCAAGGACAACUGGUCCGCCCUCCGGGUGAGCACAUAGUUUGGUCUUGGCAUCUUGCUGGAAACUGUUGCUGCGCUUGGUUGUGUGGUGCAGCUUUCAGCACUUUCACUUUGAGGAAAUUGGAGUGUUUCAAGCAGGCACAUGCCUUUGGACACAGUAGCAUGGAAUAAUUAGAUUGGGCUUUUGCUCCAACUUGUUGGUUCCUGGAGCUGAGGUGAGAAUCAAUGGGGAUUGUUGGGGGCAUCCGAAUUUAGCCGUCAGAGGUGAAAUUCUUGGAUCUGCUAAAGACGGACAACUGCGAAAGCGUUUGCCCAGGAUGUUUUCAUUGA
rnacentral:rRNA from 1 species